GAUGAACGCUGGCGGCGUGCCUAAUACAUGCAAGUCGAGCGAACGGACGAGAAGCUUGCUUCUCUGAUGUUAGCGGCGGACGGGUGAGUAACACGUGGAUAACCUACCUAUAAGACUGGGAUAACUUCGGGAAACCGGAGCUAAUACCGGAUAAUAUUUUGAACCGCAUGGUUCAAAAGUGAAAGACGGUCUUGCCGUCACUUAUAGAUGGAUCCGCGCUGCAUUAGCUAGUUGGUAAGGUAACGGCUUACCAAGGCAACGAUGCAUAGCCGACCUGAGAGGGUGAUCGGCCACACUGGAACUGAGACACGGUCCAGACUCCUACGGGAGGCAGCAGUAGGGAAUCUUCCGCAAUGGGCGAAAGCCUGACGGAGCAACGCCGCGUGAGUGAUGAAGGUCUUCGGAUCGUAAAACUCUGUUAUUAGGGAAGAACAUAUGUGUAAGUAACUGUGCACAUCUUGACGGUACCUAAUCAGAAAGCCACGGCUAACUACGUGCCAGCAGCCGCGGUAAUACGUAGGUGGCAAGCGUUAUCCGGAAUUAUUGGGCGUAAAGCGCGCGUAGGCGGUUUUUUAAGUCUGAUGUGAAAGCCCACGGCUCAACCGUGGAGGGUCAUUGGAAACUGGAAAACUUGAGUGCAGAAGAGGAAAGUGGAAUUCCAUGUGUAGCGGUGAAAUGCGCAGAGAUAUGGAGGAACACCAGUGGCGAAGGCGACUUUCUGGUCUGUAACUGACGCUGAUGUGCGAAAGCGUGGGGAUCAAACAGGAUCAGAUACCCUGGUAGUCCACGCCGUAAACGAUGAGUGCUAAGUGUUAGGGGGUUUCCGCCCCUUAGCGCUGCAGCUAACGCAUUAAGCACUCCGCCUGGGGAGUACGACCGCAAGGUUGAAACUCAAAGGAAUUGACGGGGACCCGCACAAGCGGUGGAGCAUGUGGUUUAAUUCGAAGCAACGCGAAGAACCUUACCAAAUCUUGACAUCCUUUGACAACUCUAGAGAUAGAGCCUUCCCCUUCGGGGGACAAAGUGACAGGUGGUGCAUGGUUGUCGUCAGCUCGUGUCGUGAGAUGUUGGGUUAAGUCCCGCAACGAGCGCAACCCUUAAGCUUAGUUGCCAUCAUUAAGUUGGGCACUCUAAGUUGACUGCCGGUGACAAACCGGAGGAAGGUGGGGAUGACGUCAAAUCAUCAUGCCCCUUAUGAUUUGGGCUACACACGUGCUACAAUGGACAAUACAAAGGGCAGCGAAACCGCGAGGUCAAGCAAAUCCCAUAAAGUUGUUCUCAGUUCGGAUUGUAGUCUGCAACUCGACUACAUGAAGCUGGAAUCGCUAGUAAUCGUAGAUCAGCAUGCUACGGUGAAUACGUUCCCGAGUCU
rnacentral:rRNA from 1 species